rnacentral:rRNA from 1 species
GGGUUGUGAGGUUAAGCGACUAAGCGUACACGGUGGAUGCCCUGGCAGUCAGAGGCGAUGAAGGGCGUGCUAAUCUGCGAUAAGCGCCGGUAAGGUGAUAUGAACCGUUAUAACCGGCGAUACCCGAAUGGGGAAACCCAGUGUGAUUCGUCACACUAUCAUUAACUGAAUCCAUAGGUUAAUGAGGCGAACCGGGGGAACUGAAACAUCUAAGUACCCCGAGGAAAAGAAAUCAACCGAGAUUCCCCCAGUAGCGGCGAGCGAACGGGGAGGAGCCCAGAGCCUGAAUCAGCAUGUGUGUUAGUGGAAGCGUCUGGAAAGGCGCGCGAUACAGGGUGACAGCCCCGUACACAAAAGCGCAUGUGCUGUGAGCUCGAUGAGUAGGGCGGGACACGUGGUAUCCUGUCUGAAUAUGGGGGGACCAUCCUCCAAGGCUAAAUACUCCUGACUGACCGAUAGUGAACCAGUACCGUGAGGGAAAGGCGAAAAGAACCCCGGCGAGGGGAGUGAAAAAGAACCUGAAACCGUGUACGUACAAGCAGUGGGAGCACAGGUUUACCUGUGUGACUGCGUACCUUUUGUAUAAUGGGUCAGCGACUUAUAUUCUGUAGCAAGGUUAACCGAAUAGGGGAGCCGGAGGGAAACCGAGUCUUAACCGGGCGUUAAGUUGCAGGGUAUAGACCCGAAACCCGGUGAUCUAGCCAUGGGCAGGUUGAAGGUUGGGUAACACUAACUGGAGGACCGAACCGACUAAUGUUGAAAAAUUAGCGGAUGACCUGUGGCUGGGGGUGAAAGGCCAAUCAAACCGGGAGAUAGCUGGUUCUCCCCGAAAGCUAUUUAGGUAGCGCCUCGUGAAUUCAUCUCCGGGGGUAGAGCACUGUUUCGGCUAGGGGGCCAUCCCGGCUUACCAACCCGAUGCAAACUGCGAAUACCGGAGAAUGUUAUCACGGGAGACACACGGCGGGUGCUAACGUCCGUCGUGAAGAGGGAAACAACCCAGACCGCCAGCUAAGGUCCCAAAGUCAUGGUUAAGUGGGAAACGAUGUGGGAAGGCCCAGACAGCCAGGAUGUUGGCUUAGAAGCAGCCAUCAUUUAAAGAAAGCGUAAUAGCUCACUGGUCGAGUCGGCCUGCGCGGAAGAUGUAACGGGGCUAAACCAUGCACCGAAGCUGCGGCAGCGACACUGUGUGUUGUUGGGUAGGGGAGCGUUCUGUAAGCCUGCGAAGGUGGCCUGUGAGGGUUGCUGGAGGUAUCAGAAGUGCGAAUGCUGACAUAAGUAACGAUAAAGCGGGUGAAAAGCCCGCUCGCCGGAAGACCAAGGGUUCCUGUCCAACGUUAAUCGGGGCAGGGUGAGUCGACCCCUAAGGCGAGGCCGAAAGGCGUAGUCGAUGGGAAACGGGUUAAUAUUCCCGUACUUGGUGUUACUGCGAAGGGGGGACGGAGAAGGCUAUGUUGGCCGGGCGACGGUUGUCCCGGUUUAAGCGUGUAGGUGUGUGUUCCAGGUAAAUCCGGUUCACUUUAACACUGAGGCGUGAUGACGAGGCACUACGGUGCUGAAGCAACAAAUGCCCUGCUUCCAGGAAAAGCCUCUAAGCAUCAGGUAACAUCAAAUCGUACCCCAAACCGACACAGGUGGUCAGGUAGAGAAUACCAAGGCGCUUGAGAGAACUCGGGUGAAGGAACUAGGCAAAAUGGUGCCGUAACUUCGGGAGAAGGCACGCUGACACGUAGGUGAAGUGAUUUACUCAUGGAGCUGAAGUCAGUCGAAGAUACCAGCUGGCUGCAACUGUUUAUUAAAAACACAGCACUGUGCAAACACGAAAGUGGACGUAUACGGUGUGACGCCUGCCCGGUGCCGGAAGGUUAAUUGAUGGGGUCAGCGCAAGCGAAGCUCCUGAUCGAAGCCCCGGUAAACGGCGGCCGUAACUAUAACGGUCCUAAGGUAGCGAAAUUCCUUGUCGGGUAAGUUCCGACCUGCACGAAUGGCGUAAUGAUGGCCAGGCUGUCUCCACCCGAGACUCAGUGAAAUUGAACUCGCUGUGAAGAUGCAGUGUACCCGCGGCAAGACGGAAAGACCCCGUGAACCUUUACUAUAGCUUGACACUGAACAUUGAGCCUUGAUGUGUAGGAUAGGUGGGAGGCUUUGAAGCGUGGACGCCAGUCUGCGUGGAGCCGACCUUGAAAUACCACCCUUUAAUGUUUGAUGUUCUAACGUGGACCCGUGAUCCGGGUUGCGGACAGUGUCUGGUGGGUAGUUUGACUGGGGCGGUCUCCUCCUAAAGAGUAACGGAGGAGCACGAAGGUUGGCUAAUCCUGGUCGGACAUCAGGAGGUUAGUGCAAUGGCAUAAGCCAGCUUGACUGCGAGCGUGACGGCGCGAGCAGGUGCGAAAGCAGGUCAUAGUGAUCCGGUGGUUCUGAAUGGAAGGGCCAUCGCUCAACGGAUAAAAGGUACUCCGGGGAUAACAGGCUGAUACCGCCCAAGAGUUCAUAUCGACGGCGGUGUUUGGCACCUCGAUGUCGGCUCAUCACAUCCUGGGGCUGAAGUAGGUCCCAAGGGUAUGGCUGUUCGCCAUUUAAAGUGGUACGCGAGCUGGGUUUAGAACGUCGUGAGACAGUUCGGUCCCUAUCUGCCGUGGGGCGCUGGAGAACUGAGGGGGGCUGCUCCUAGUACGAGAGGACCGGAGUGGACGCAUCACUGGUGUUCGGGUUGUCAUGCCAAUGGCACUGCCCGGUAGCUAAAUGCGGAAGAGAUAAGUGCUGAAAGCAUCUAAGCACGAAACUUGCCCCGAGAUGAGUUCUCCCUGAGACUUUAAGUCUCCUGAAGGAACGUUGAAGACGACGACGUUGAUAGGCCGGGUGUGUAAGCGCAGCGAUGCGUUGAGCUAACCGGUACUAAUGAACCGUGAGGCUUAACCUUACAACGCCGAAG